UGACCAGAUUUUGCAGUUUAUAACGCAAAUUAUGGACAGAGUAUAAAUGCAAAAUAUCUGGUUAUG
rnacentral:pre_miRNA from 1 species